CCUACGGGCGGCUGCAGUGGGGAAUAUUGGACAAUGGGCGAAAGCCUGAUCCAGCCAUGCCGCGUGUGUGAAGAAGGCCUUCGGGUUGUAAAGCACUUUCAGUGGGGAAGAAAGCCUUGGGGCUAAUACCCUCGAGGAAGGACAUCACCCACAGAAGAAGCACCGGCUAACUCCGUGCCAGCAGCCGCGGUAAUACGGAGGGUGCGAGCGUUAAUCGGAAUUACUGGGCGUAAAGCGCGCGUAGGCGGUCUGAUAAGCCGGUUGUGAAAGCCCCGGGCUCAACCUGGGAACGGCAUCCGGAAACUGUCAGGCGAGAGUGCAGGAGAGGAAAGUGGAAUUCCCGGUGUAGCGGUGAAAUGCGUAGAGAUCGGGAGGAAUACCAGUGGCGAAGGCGGCCUUCUGGACUGACACUGACGCUGAGGUGCGAAAGCGUGGGUAGCAAACAGGAUUAGAUACCCUGGUAGUC
rnacentral:rRNA from 1 species